rnacentral:rRNA from 1 species
AUGCAGUCGAGCGGACAGAUGGGAGCUUGCUCCCUGAUGUUAGCGGCGGACGGGUGAGUAACACGUGGGUAACCUGCCUGUAAGACUGGGAUAACUCCGGGAAACCGGGGCUAAUACCGGAUGGUUGUUUGAACCGCAUGGUUCAGACAUAAAAGGUGGCUUCGGCUACCACUUACAGAUGGACCCGCGGCGCAUUAGCUAGUUGGUGAGGUAACGGCUCACCAAGGCGACGAUGCGUAGCCGACCUGAGAGGGUGAUCGGCCACACUGGGACUGAGACACGGCCCAGACUCCUACGGGAGGCAGCAGUAGGGAAUCUUCCGCAAUGGACGAAAGUCUGACGGAGCAACGCCGCGUGAGUGAUGAAGGUUUUCGGAUCGUAAAGCUCUGUUGUUAGGGAAGAACAAGUGCCGUUCAAAUAGGGCGGCACCUUGACGGUACCUAACCAGAAAGCCACGGCUAACUACGUGCCAGCAGCCGCGGUAAUACGUAGGUGGCAAGCGUUGUCCGGAAUUAUUGGGCGUAAAGGGCUCGCAGGCGGUUUCUUAAGUCUGAUGUGAAAGCCCCCGGCUCAACCGGGGAGGGUCAUUGGAAACUGGGGAACUUGAGUGCAGAAGAGGAGAGUGGAAUUCCACGUGUAGCGGUGAAAUGCGUAGAGAUGUGGAGGAACACCAGUGGCGAAGGCGACUCUCUGGUCUGUAACUGACGCUGAGGAGCGAAAGCGUGGGGAGCGAACAGGAUUAGAUACCCUGGUAGUCCACGCCGUAAACGAUGAGUGCUAAGUGUUAGGGGGUUUCCGCCCCUUAGUGCUGCAGCUAACGCAUUAAGCACUCCGCCUGGG